UUUUGCGGAUUUCUUCGGAAUGAAGUUUUAGUGACUGAGUGGCGGACGGGUGAGUAACGCGUGGGUAACCUGCCUCACACAGGGGGAUAACAGUUGGAAACGGCUGCUAAUACCGCAUAAGCGCACAGUACCGCAUGGUACAGUGUGAAAAACUCCGGUGGUGUGAGAUGGAUCCGCGUCUGAUUAGCCAGUUGGCGGGGUAACGGCCCACCAAAGCGACGAUCAGUAGCCGACCUGAGAGGGUGACCGGCCACAUUGGAACUGAGACACGGUCCAAACUCC
rnacentral:rRNA from 1 species